GUGGAGGCGACUGAUCAAGGUGCUUCCUGUUUCCUUUAGUGGAUGUGACUUGUGGUUAAGACCUUCUAUAUGAGCUGAUGUUCACUUCACCGGCCUUAGGCUCAACUCCGUUUCUCCUCGGAGAGAAGAGGACGUACAGGCUUCAUUGAAUUACCACAUAAACAUUUAGAACUUGUGUGAAGUUCUCCUGAUUUCAACAAAAAGACGAUUUACUUUUGAGCUACAAGAUCCAUCAACAGAAUGACCUUCACAUGUGACCAGUGUGGAAAGCUUCAUCAGUGUCUACAACUCCAGCCACCCGUCCAGAACCAUCAACACGUUCAACACCUACGAUCUCCUCUGAGAGCAGGAGGAGGGGCAGGGAUGGAGGGCAUGGAAGAUCCAGAUCUCCACUCCUCAGUACUUCAUCUCGACCACCACACUUACUAACCGCCACACCAGGAAGACCGCAGCAGGCAAGGAUCAUAUGGGAGGCUGUCAUGUGUGCACUGCUGACAAACACAGGGGAAGAGGCAGUGUACUGCAUGGAAAUGCUAAGGCCUGUGAUGUGGCACUUUGCCUGGUGCCUGAUAGGAACUGCUUCCAUGAUUGGCACUAGUGAAGGACUUGGACGAGUGCACUUUUUUUUGUUUUGAGGGCAAAAAUGACAUUUUUAGAAUACCUACAAACUUCAUAUUUUGCACUUUUGUAGCUAAGACCCUAAACUAAGUAUUUAUUAUGUCUAAAAAGUUGUUUAUACAUGUUUGCUGUGUGUUUUGAAUAAAGGAGU